AAAAGUAAAGUGAAGAAAAAAAAGUGUAGUUGUCUAAAACUAAUAAGUUAAUUAAAAAGAUUAUUAAUUGCCAAGUUGGUAACUCAAAAUGAAAACUUCAAAAUGGCGAAUGAAAAAAAUUUUUAAUUCGUGUCGCAGUAGCCAAUGUGUCAAAUGUCAUCGAAAGUUAAUGUGGGCAGUAGGCUCCAUCAACCUUUUCUCAUUUUACGUCGAGCAGCAGUAGUGAAAACAUCAAAAAUAAAUUGAAAAAUUUAAAAAACUUAAAUUAAGGCUGGUGAAGUGAAAAAGUAAAGUGAAGAAAAAAUAAUUCAGAAAACUUGAACUAAAAGUGGUGAAGUGAAAAAGUAAAAAAAAAAAGAAAGAAAUGAUUGUUGUUGGCGACGGCAAAAUUCUAAAUGAAAACUUCAAAAUGUGCGAAUGAAAAAAAUUGUUAAUUCGUGUCGCAGUAGCAAAUGUGAUAAAUGUCAUCGGAAGUAAUGUGGGCAGUAGGCUCCAUCAACCUUUUCUCAUUUUACAUCGAGCAGCAGUAGUGAAAACAUCAAAAAUAAAUUGAAAAAUUUAAAAAACUUAAAUUAAAACUGGUGAAGUGAAAAAGUAAAGUGAAGAAAAAAUAAUUCAGAAAACUCGUCCAGGACGCCGUGCUUCAUCGGAUAAAUCAGAUACGUUCGAAAAAACCAAAGUGGCGUGGACAACUCGCCACCAAGAAGCAUGCGCAGCCAACGUCAAAAGCUGCUGCAGCAAAUGAACAUGCAAAGGUGACAGCAACAUCUACAGCAACAUCUUUGGCAACAUCUACAGCAACAUCUACAGCAACAUCUUUAGCAACAUCUUUGGCAACAUCUACAGCAACAUCUUUGGCAACAUCUACAGCAACAUCAUUGGCAACAUCUACAGCAACAUCUUUGGCAACAUUUACAGCAAUAUUUUUGGCAACAUCUACAGCAACAUUUUUGGCAGCAUCUUUUGCAACAUCUACAGCAACAUCUUUGGCAACAUCUGCAGCAACAUUUUUGGCAACGUCUACAGCAACAUUUACGACAACAUUUAACGCAACAUCUACGGCAACAGCUAUUGCAACAUAUAUAGCAACAUUUAACGCAACAUCAGCCACACAUUUAUGUACCUAACCUCAAUGCAAAUUCUGCUGCUGCACCACAACCUCGUGGAGCACUCCCACCCAUGUUGCGUGCAGCAACAUCGCAGAACUUAUAGCGCAAUCGUGGCGUAUCUGCCGCACUAGUUGGCGCACCAAGAUUAGGCGCCGCAGCAGCAAAUGCAACACAGAAAUCGGUCGCAACAACAGCCAAUGGCACACCGAUAAUGCGACCAACAACAUCUUGUGCAACAUUUGGCAGAUGACAAUCCAUUGGUCCAUCGGGACAUCAGAUGAUGCCAAGCUCAAGGAUGCCAGCAUAUGUCCUGCAACAGCAGCAACAGGGCAUCAACCGGAAACUGGAUGCGACUAUGCCAGCUGGCGAAACAACAGCGGAUAUGGUGCCUAGAGCAGAUAAUAAUCCAAUGGAUGUGGGGACGGUGAGAAAGAAGUUGGACAACUAUGAAUAUCGCACCGCAUUGGAUUUUGCAGACGAUAUCCGUUUGAUAUUCUCAAAUUGCUUCAAAUACAAACAACAAUCCCAAGCAACUUCCCAUUGUUGGCGACGCACAUAAGUUGCAGACCAUGCAUGAUGCCGCCCCCCAAUUUUAGGAACAUGAUUGGAGCGCCACAAAUGAUUCCAGAUGCGGUGUCAAACGGAAUCCCUGUUCCAAGACCUUAAGGCUAUGACAGUGAGAUCAGCAACAGCAACAGUCACAGUCGAAUGGUCAGUCCUUAUCCAUAGGGUCAACAGCGCAGCAGCGAAAUCAGCAACACUAACAACAUCAAUGGCAGUAACAGUGGAAUGCUUGGUCCAUAUAUACAAAGCGGUUACAGAGGUGAGAUCAACAACACUAUCAACAUCAUUAGCAGUAACAGUGGAAUGGUUGGUCCAUAUACACAACAGGGUUAUAGCAGUAAGAUCAGCAACUACAUCAGCAACAAUAUUAGCAACAUCAGCAACAGCAGCAUCCAAAUGGCUUGUCUUUUCUUAGCUCAGAGCAGUGACGCCAGUAAACAUCAGCAGCGAUUCUGAAAAUCAAAAUGAACGCAAAAGGCUGGUCAAAGCCAAGCUAAAGAUGCUGACGUACACAAAUCUGAAGCAAGAGGGCCAGAAGGUAUCGCAAAGCACAAAAAGAAGCAGUUACAAGAAGCUGGAGUUGCAGCAUUGGCAGCAACCACUCAGUAUAUAUAUUCUUGAUCAGUGUCAACAGCCAAAACGAUCCAGCCAUGUCCGUCUGUCCGUCUGUUCCUAUGAACACCUAGGUCUCAGAGACUAUUAGAGAUAGAGCUAUAAUUUUUUUCGUGGUAUAUUUGCACGCAGAUCAAGUUUGUUUAAAAUGUUUGCCACGCCCACUUCCACCCCCGCAAAUCUAUAAAAAUCGAAUAAUUUUAAAGCUAGAGCUGCGCAUUUUGGUGUAUAAAAUAAUAACUAUAAUAUUUAUGAUUUCUAAUUUGAUUGCGAUCAGAUAAAAUUUGUAGAAGUUAUUGCAGAAAUACUUUUAUAUGCGAAAAAACGAGGUGAAUUCGCUCAGAGAAAGCUUUAUUGCGCUCUCGCUUCGCCUUAAUUCUAAGAACUUAAUUUUAACAACCUCAUUCAACAUUGAUGCUCUUAAACUUAUUUAACCCCAACAGCGAGAAUCGAAAUUUUUGGUACACACAUUAUUAACUAUAGUAUUUAAAAUUUGUGAAUACUUAGUUGCCAUCACACAAGAAUUUUAAAAGUCAUUUAGGAAAUUGUUUUGUAUGGGCAAAACGUAUACUUACUACGGGUCUUAGUAGCUUUCGCUAACAAUCUGGUAUAUUUUGCACGCUUUGGUAUAUUUAAAAUGUAGUACUGUAUUAAUAUACCUAAACUAACAUUUGGAAUAUUUUUAAUACUUGGAGAUAAUGGUAUAUUUUAAAAUGAAGACCGCAUAAAUGCAAACCAUUUAUUCGAAAUGGGUAGCGGGUAACUCAUAGUGGAGCACAUUCUACUAUAGCUUAUUUACUUGUUGCCAUACAAAAGUGUCUCUCAAAUAACUUUUCCACUUUUAUUUGAUGAAACAUAAAAACAGUUAGUAUUGUGGGAUUGGUUUUAUGAUAAUGAUUAUUUAUUAUUUCAUAAGUUUAAUCCUUAAUUAUUAUUGUAUUUAGUUUAUUGAUUAAUUAAAUUAUUUGAAUAUCUUCGUCGCGGUCGUCGUUAGCACGUCUUGCUUCCUUCUCUCGACUUCUCUCCCAAUCGAUAAUCCUUUCUUCCCUUAAUCGAUAGGUGGAUAGAUUGGCGUUGCCAGACCCAUUCCCACAUAGAUGCAAAACAUUUAUUCAAAAUGGAUAGCGGGUAACUUACAAUCGCGCACACUCUACUAAAGCUUAUUUACUUGUUUGCCAUACAAAAGUGUCUCACAAAUAACUUUUCCACUUUUAUUUGAUGGCAACCACAUUCUCAGGAAACAUAAAAACAGUAUUAGUAUAGCUUGCUAUUCGAUUUUUUCGCUUUGCGGGGGCGGAACUGGGCACAGCAAUUUUAAACAAACCUGAUCUGCGUGCAAAAAUAAUAAGUUCCUUUGAAAAAUAAGUAAGAAAGCUAUUACAUCGCCAAUAGCUCAAGCUGUAUAAAACCAAUUCCUUUUUGAAAUCACAGCUAAUAAUAAAAUUUAAUUUAAUAAACUAGCAACUAAACUUAAAUGCCGUUAAAUGAGCGUAAGAAAAAAUAGCCUUACUCGCUCUGGCUUAUAAUGAGAUAAAACAAUUGAAAGCUAUAGACUUUAACAAAUCAUUUUAUAUGACAGAAACAUCGGCUGGGUCGUAUUUGCGUUGGUUGACAAUCUAGUAUGUUUAUUUUUAUAAAAUAUAUGUAAACCAAACUUGCAUUUAAUUAAAAAAUAUAUCUGUGAAUGUUUUA